rnacentral:antisense_RNA from 1 species
UUCUAUGGCGGCUGUGUACGGGAGACCUUCGGGUCUGCCGGUUCUUUGGUUCCCGGUUCGCUAACCUGUGCACAGCUGCCACCCUA